GUUUUCAUAGCUUAUACAAAGCAUAAUAUUGAAGCUAUUAAGAAAAUUUUUAUUUGAAAACA
rnacentral:tRNA from 1 species